rnacentral:rRNA from 1 species
AGUGAACGCUGGCGGUAGGCCUAACACAUGCAAGUCGAACGGCAGCACAGUAAGAGCUUGCUCUUACGGGUUGCGAGUGGCGGACGGGUGAGGAAUACAUCGUAAUCUACUUUUUCGUGGGGGAUAACGUAGGUAAACUUACUCUAAUACCGCAUACGACCUACGGGUGAAAGCAUGGGAUCUUCGGACCUUGCGCGAUUGAAUGAGCCGAUGUCGGAUUAGCUAGUUGGCGGGGUAAAGGCCCACCAAGGCGACGAUCCGUAGCUGGUCUGAGAGGAUGAUCAGCCACACGGGAACUGAGACACGGUCCAGACUACUACGGGAGGCAGCAGUGGGGAAUAUUGGACAAAGGGCGCAAACAUGAUACAGCCAUACCGCGUGGGUGAAGAAGGCGUUCGGGUUGUAAAGACCUUUUGUUGGGAAAGAAAAGCAGCAGGUUAAUACCCCGCUGUUCUGACGGUACCCAAAGAAUAAGCACCGGCUAACUUCGUG